GACGAACGCUGGCGGCGUGCUUAACACAUGCAAGUCGAACGGAAAGGCCUCUUUCGGGGGGUACUCGAGUGGCGAACGGGUGAGUAACACGUGAGUAACCUGCCCUUGACUUUGGGAUAACUUCAGGAAACUGGGGCUAAUACCGGAUAGGAGCUCCUGCUGCAUGGUGGGGGUUGGAAAGUUUCGGCGGUUGGGGAUGGACUCGCGGCUUAUCAGCUUGUUGGUGGGGUAGUGGCUUACCAAGGCUUUGACGGGUAGCCGGCCUGGGAGGGUGACCGGCCACCUUGGGACUGAGAUACGGCCCAGACUCCUACGGGAGGCAGCAGUGGGGAAUAUUGCACAAUGGGUGGGAGCCUGAUGCAGCAACGCCGUGUGCGGGAUGACGGCCUUCGGGUUGUAAACCGCUUUCGCUCAUGACGAAGCUUUGUGUGACGGUAGUGGGUAAAGAAGCACCGGCUAACUACGUG
rnacentral:rRNA from 1 species